UGGUGCAAUGAUGAUGAAACUAUCUAAUCCCAGCUCUAUGAGACCUUGAUUUGUUUAAGGUUUAGGAAUUACAAUGUUUAGUUAUUAUCUGAGCUUUUUG
rnacentral:snoRNA from 1 species